AGGGGAAUGAAGUGGGGUGAUAUAUUUGCUUAACGUCUUCAGUUAUUACAAGACAAACCAAGGCAACGAAACAAAUCGAAAACUUGAGAGAGAUAGAGCGGAGAAAAUUAGAAAUAUUACAAGGGACAAGAAAUUAUACCUUUGAAAUAUAUAAUCAACUGUAAUGAGAUGGUUUUAUCCUCAAGCUAUGUAAAGAAUCUCCGAGACACGCAAUUAUACACCAAUGUGUUCUGUACUGUAAAAACCGCCACAAUAACUGGAUAAUUCGACGCGAUAUCAACACUGAAGGCGCUAUGGGUAUCACGCAGGUGGUAUCCGAUAUUGUUAUAUCAAAGUUAACGGAUGAAACAUCGGCAUUGAAAACUUUUGAGUUAACAACGUAGUCCAUAGCUCGGGAACGAAUAAAAACCAGCGACAUACAAACUUGUUCAAGCAAACUUACUCACACGCAUGCGCGUGCGUACACAUACAUUCACGCACACAUACACAAACACACGCAUACGCACAUCCUAAAUGCAAAGCUGUAUAUGAUGAUAUUCAUAUAAUUACAAACCAAAUUGUAAAUUUUCUAAUCCUAUACAUACAUUUAUAUAUAUAUAUAUAUAUAUAUAUUGAUAUAUAUACAUAAAUACAUGCAAUUAUGUGUCAUAGUUUUAGUCGUGAAGUAUUACAGAAGAUAUCGUGAUCGUUCGAAUAUGAUAAUAUAAUAAAACAUUAUAUCGUAUAAAUGAGAAAAUUGGACAACAUAAAAUCUGAAAGAAAGUAAAAAAACACAUUUAACCUUAUAAAACGAUAGAACACUGCUUGGGUAAUAAUAAUAGUAAUAAUAAUAAUAAUAAGAAGAAGAAGAAGAAG